AACUUUUGGCAAUGUAUCUCUUGGUUCUGGCAUCGAUGAAGAACGCAGCGAUAUGCGAUAAGUAAUGUGUAUUGCAGAAUUUAGUGAGUCAUCGAAUCUUUGAACGCACAUUGCGCCCCUUGGUAUUCCUCGGGGCACGCCUGUUCGAGCGCCGUUUCAAACUUAAGGCUCUGCCUUGCGUUGGCGCCAUCCGUUCGCGGAUGCGUUGAAACUCCUCGGGCGCCUUUCUGAUAUCGGCAGCGUAGCAAGUCUUCCGCUGUUGGGUCCCAGCAAAGGUCGCCGGUACUCACGAGUUUGGCCUCGAAUCAGGCGGGGAUACCCGCUGAACUUAAGCAUAUCAAUAAGCGGAGGAU
rnacentral:misc_RNA from 1 species